GUAGUGAUCGUAUAGUGGUAAGUACAUUGCAUUGUGACCACAAUAAUCCAGGUUCGAAUCCUGGUCACGGCA
rnacentral:tRNA from 1 species